CCUACGGGUGGCAGCAGUGAGGAAUAUUGGUCAAUGGGCGAGAGUCUGAACCAGCCAAGUAGCGUGAGGGAAGACGGCCCUAUGGAUUGUAAACUUCUUUUGUAUGGGAGUAAAAUGUGGUACGUGUAGGGUUUUGUGUGUACCCUGUGAAUAAGGAUCGGCUAACUCCGUGCCAGCAGCCGCGGUAAUACGGAGGAUCCGAGCGUUAUCCGGAUUUAUUGGGUUUAAAGGGAGCGUAGGUGGAUUGUUAAGUCAGGUGUGAAAGUUUGCGGCUCAACCGUAAAAUUGCCGUUGAAACUGGCAGGCUGGAGUACAGUAGAGGUAGGCGGAAUUCGUGGUGUAGCGGUGAAAUGCUUAGAUAUCACGAAGAACUCCGAUUGCGAAGGCAGUUCACUGGACUGCAACUGACACUGAGGCUCGAAAGUGUGGGUAUCAAACAGGAUUAGAUACCCGGGUAGUC
rnacentral:rRNA from 1 species